AUUUAAAAAAAAAAAAACACAUGAUAGUCACAAGCAGUGUGCUUACUUGUUUGAUUAAUUAAAAUAAAUUAUGUGGCUGGGAGAGAUUUCUUCAAAGGAAGGAAUUAGUGAGCUGCUUAGUGGAUAAUUAUGAAUCAAAGCCAGCUGUCAUGUGAUCAUCAAGCCUGGUGUAGACUCAAGAAACUUAGCUUACUAUUAGAUGAUUACUCUCCGCUUUCCUCUCUCCCUCCCUGACGUGAAGAAACAAAACUCAUUAGAGAAAGAAAAAUUGCAGAGAGAAAACAGUGAGAAAGAAGAGAAAAAAUGAAGAAAAAUCAGAGGAAAAAUCAUAGAAAAAAAUAGACAAGACCUUGGAAGAUUUUCUUUCAUCCUCUAUCUUAGUUCCUUGCUCUAGAGAAGAUCAGAAGAUCAGUUCAGUUGCAAGUUCAGUAACGGAAAGGGUCAUCUGAGUUCUUCUGUUAGUCAGUUGUGCUGCUUGCGAGUCUUGCUGUCUCACUCCAGUCGUCCUUGUACCCGUGUACUCUUUUGGUUCCUUCAGCUUGUUUGAGAUCAGUUUCAAGACUUAUUUUGAGGUAACCACUAGGCGGGAGACUUACUCUUUUUGACUAGAAGGAACGACGUAAUCAGCGGUAGUUUUUGUUGUCCUUGCAACGAACCUUCUGUGUAUAUUACUGUAAAACGUUGUUGGGCGAUAGGCUGUAGGUUAAAACUAUAAAGGUUUGUAAAAUGUUUAAAAAUAAUUAAUUAAUGUAUAAAAGAAUGUUUGUAAAUUACGAGUUCUCAUAUGCUACU